UACGUAGGCAGCAAGCGUUGUUCGGGAUUACUGGGCGUAAAGAGUGUGUAGGCGGUGCUCUAAGUUCGGUGUGAAAUCUCCCGGCUCAACUGGGAGGGUGCGCCGGAAACUGGAAUGCUUGAGCGUGGGAGAGGAAAGCGGAAUUCCUGGUGUAGCGGUGAAAUGCGUAGAUAUCAGGAGGAACACCUGCGGUGUAGACGGCUUUCUGGACCAUUGCUGACGCUGAGACACGAAAGCGUGGGUAGCAAACAGG
rnacentral:rRNA from 1 species